UUUGAUGGCGCAGCUAAUACAUGCAAGUCGAGCGGACAGAAGGGAGCUUGCUCCCGGAUGUUAGCGGCGGACGGGUGAGUAACACGUGGGUAACCUGCCUGUAAGACUGGGAUAACUCCGGGAAACCGGAGCUAAUACCGGAUAGUUCCUUGAACCGCAUGGUUCAAGGAUGAAAGACGGUUUCGGCUGUCACUUACAGAUGGACCCGCGGCGCAUUAGCUAGUUGGUGAGGUAACGGCUCACCAAGGCGACGAUGCGUAGCCGACCUGAGAGGGUGAUCGGCCACACUGGGACUGAGACACGGCCCAGACUCCUACGGGAGGCAGCAGUAGGGAAUCUUCCGCAAUGGACGAAAGUCUGACGGAGCAACGCCGCGUGAGUGAUGAAGGUUUUCGGAUCGUAAAGCUCUGUUGUUAGGGAAGAACAAGUGCAAGAGUAACUGCUUGCACCUUGACGGUACCUAACCAGAAAGCCACGGCUAACUACGUGCCAGCAGCCGCGGUAAUACGUAGGUGGCAAGCGUUGUCCGGAAUUAUUGGGCGUAAAGGGCUCGCAGGCGGUUUCUUAAGUCUGAUGUGAAAGCCCCCGGCUCAACCGGGGAGGGUCAUUGGAAACUGGGAAACUUGAGUGCAGAAGAGGAGAGUGGAAUUCCACGUGUAGCGGUGAAAUGCGUAGAGAUGUGGAGGAACACCAGUGGCGAAGGCGACUCUCUGGUCUGUAACUGACGCUGAGGAGCGAAAGCGUGGGGAGCGAACAGGAUUAGAUACCCUGGUAGUCCACGCCGUAAACGAUGAGUGCUAAGUGUUAGGGGGUUUCCGCCCCUUAGUGCUGCAGCUAACGCAUUAAGCACUCCGCCUGGGGAGUACGGUCGCAAGACUGAAACUCAAAGGAAUUGACGGGGGCCCGCACAAGCGGUGGAGCAUGUGG
rnacentral:rRNA from 1 species